rnacentral:misc_RNA from 1 species
UUUCCGUAGGUGAACCAGCGGAAGGAUCAUUAGUGAACGCCCUCACGGGCUUAUAACUAUUCCAAACCUCUGUGAACCGUGCCCUUCGGGGUUAUUUUACAAACAUGGUGUAAUGAACGUCACAUAUCAUAACAAAACAAAACUUUCAACAACGGAUCUCUUGGCUCUC